ensembl:lncRNA
GUCGUGAAGUAGGUAAGUUCUGUGCCCAUGUGGCUAGGUGGUUCACUUUCACAUCUGAAACCAACAGGCAGGCAUCAGUGUUCUAUACAAGUGGAGUCCUUAAACUAAAAGCUGUUUUUCUUUCCUUUUUUUUUGGCUGCAUGCAACACAGCUUCUGGGAUCUUAGUUCCCCAACCAGGGAUGGAACCUGGGCCCCAGCAGUGAAAGCACUGUGUCCUAACCACUGGACUGCCAGGGAAUUUCGAGUUUGUUUUUUUAAUUAGGUUAGUUAUGUUGGACUGGAAAUGUGUGCUGAGAGUUAGAAAGAGGUUUAAAAAGCAUAAAUAUUCAAGAGUUUUUAAAUGAAAAGAUUUUUUUUUUGCAUUCAUAAAUAUUUAAUUGGACAUUUUUCUUUUUUAGGUUGGUGUUAAGUCUAAAAUGGUCAUUUAAAGCACAUAAAGCGUUAAUGUAUAUAUGUGUUAGCAUUUCUUUUUGUUUUUAUAGUUUAUAGAAUAACUUUGACGCCCUAGGUCUGUUUUACUUUUCAGAAUGAGGUUUACUUACGGGAUGAGUUUUAAUCUACAUCAGUCUUUUACAUGAAGUUUUCAUUCUAGUUAAUAGCAUAAGGACUACAAACAACUUUGUGUUUUCUCCUAAGUUCACUGUGUGUGUGUUAGUCGUUUAGUUGUGUCUAACCCUUUGUGACCCCAUGGAUUGUAGCCUGUCAGGCUACAGUCCAUGGGGUUGCAAAGAGUCGGACACGACUGAGCGACUUAACUUACUUACAGAUACACAUAUCAGUAUAAAACUGGCACAAGUUUCCCCUUCCUUUCCUUUUUUAGCAGUUAAUUUGGUGAGUUUAGAAGCGUUGUUUGUGUAUGAUUUGUGUGAAAAUGUUCCCUUUCCCCAGGUUCUCUGGUUAAACCUGCAGUAAGCAUCUUUGAAGUUUCCCUGCUUCAUUUCUUGGCAUUACUGGUUAUAAAGCUUGGGUACUAGGACUGAGUGGUCUCCUUCAGCUUUAUAUCACUGAAUUUUUAAAAAGAGACUUACAGCAUUUCUUGCAUAUUUUAUAUUUUUAUUUGAUCAAAAUAUUUUUAUAUUUUGGUUUCUUUGCUAAAGAAGUGAUGACUAAGAAUAACAAUGAGCAGUGGCACUUCACUUACCUGUUAUUAAGUGAUAAGAUGGGUUCGAAUAAAUAUAUUUUUUCCAUAUAUCACUGAUUUCCAGAGUUUCGUGCUCACGUCUGGCUAUAGGACUAUCAAAUCAUUAUUUUAGUCCCACCCCUAAAACUUUAUCAUGAUUGGUGUGCUGGACUUUGUGCUUUACCUCCAAUUUGACCUGUUUUAAAUUAAAAUUAUUUUCUUCCUUAAAAUUGGCUAGCUUCAUUAUUUUCUUAUUUCUGUUGUUGGUACCAUUGUUCUCUACCACCAUAGCUCAAACUCAGAUCCUUUGGACCCUUUCUUUUUUUGCAGUUUCUUUUAUUAACUUUAUUUCUGUUAUGAUCAGCUUAGUUUAUGUCAUUACCUCUCUUCUAAUUUAAUGAUCUACUAGCUAGUUUCCCAACCCAAUGUUUUCCUUCUUUU